rnacentral:rRNA from 1 species
GACGAACGCUGGCGGCGUGCUUAACACAUGCAAGUCGAACGGAAAGACCCAGCUUUUGUGGGGUGCUCGAGUGGCGAACGGGUGAGUAACACGUGAGUAACCUGCCCUUGACUUUGGGAUAACUUCAGGAAACUGGGGCUAAUACCGGAUAGGAGCUCCUGCUGCAUGGUGGGGGUUGGAAAGUUUCGGCGGUUGGGGAUGGACUCGCGGCUUAUCAGCUUGUUGGUGGGGUAGUGGCUUACCAAGGCUUUGACGGGUAGCCGGCCUGAGAGGGUGACCGGCCACAUUGGGACUGAGAUACGGCCCAGACUCAUACGGGAGGCAGCAGUGGGGAAUAUUGCACAAUGGGCGGAAGCCUGAUGCAGCAACGCCGCGUGCGGGAUGACGGCCUUCGGGUUGUAAACCGCUUUCGCCUGUGACGAAGCGUGAGUGACGGUAAUGGGUAAAGAAGCACCGGCUAACUACGUG